GAGUUUGAUCUUGGCUCAGGAUGAACGCUGGCGGCGUGCCUAACACAUGCAAGUCGAACGGAGUUUAUGAGGAAGAAGCUUCGGCGGAAUUCUUAUAAACUUAGUGGCGGACGGGUGAGUAACACGUGGAGAACCUGCCUCUUACCGGGGGACAGCAGUUGGAAACGACUGAUAAUACCGCAUAAGCGCACGAGACCGCAUGGUCCUGUGUGAAAAGAUUUAUCGGUAAGAGAUGGCUCCGCGUCUGAUUAGCCAGUUGGCGGGGUAACGGCCCACCAAAGCGACGGAUCAGUAGCCGGCCUGAGGAGGGUGAACGGCCACA
rnacentral:rRNA from 1 species